AGAGUUGUAUCCUGGCUCAGGACGAACGCUGGCGGCGUGCUUAACACAUGCAAGUCGAGCGAUGAAGUUCCUUCGGGAAUGGAUUAGCGGCGGACGGGUGAGUAACACGUGGGUAACCUGCCUCAUAGAGGGUAAUAGCCUUUCGAAAGGAAGAUUAAUACCGCAUAAGAUUGUAGUAUCGCAUGAUACAGCAAUUAAAGGAGUAAUCCGCUAUGAGAUGGACCCGCGUCGCAUUAGCUAGUUGGUGAGGUAACGGCUCACCAAGGCGACGAUGCGUAGCCGACCUGAGAGGGUGAUCGGCCACAUUGGGACUGAGACACGGCCCAGACUCCUACGGGAGGCAGCAGUGGGGAAUAUUGCACAAUGGGGGAAACCCUGAUGCAGCAACGCCGCGUGAGUGAUGACGGUCUUCGGAUUGUAAAACUCUGUCUUCAGGGACGAUAAUGACGGUACCUGAGGA
rnacentral:rRNA from 1 species